UCUUGCCGCAUGCUGUUUCGUGCUGUUGCCGGAGGAGCUGGAAGAUGGCGGAGCCGGGGCCGGACUGCAGCGCGCUUCUGGACGAAGAGCUCUCCUCCUUCGUCUUCAACUAUCUCACAGACAGUCAGAACCUUUACAGGAAUUCUACCUCAGGACACACACUCCCAAUAGUAAUAUCUACUCCACUCUUCCAGCUGGGGGUUCCAAGGACAGUGCUCUCCACACAGACAGCCCUCCAAUAGCUGGAGACCAGGAAGGACCAUACAGUGCAGUGCUGUCCACAAGUGAUACCUGCAACGAGACAAACAACAAGACAGUGGUUUGACCAGCACAACUGCACCUGUCAUGGCAGCUGUCUGUGACUUGCUUAGAGAAGAGAUUUG